rnacentral:tRNA from 1 species
UUAAUUGAAACCAAAAUCUAGCGGUUUAUCACUGUUAAUGAUAAAAUUGAGGCCAUCUCCAAUUAAA